rnacentral:tRNA from 1 species
UCCCUGGUAACUCAGAUGGUAAAGAAUCUGCCUGCAAAGCUGGUGACCUGGGUUCAAACCCUGGGUAGGGAA